UGGAGUCGUCCUUGAAAUACCACCCUUGUAGUUUUGAUGUUCUAACGUUGGUCCCUGAAUCGGGAUUACGGACAGUGCCUGGUGGGUAGUUUGACUGGGGCGGUCUCCUCCCAAAGAGUAACGGAGGAGCACGAAGGUGGGCUAAACACGGUUGGACAUCGUGUGGUUAGUGCAAUGGCAUAAGCCCGCUUGACUGCGAGAAUGACAAUUCGAGCAGGUGCGAAAGCAGGUCAUAGUGAUCCGGUGGUUCUGAAUGGAAGGGCCAUCGCUCAACGGAUAAAAGGUACUCCGGGGAUAACAGGCUGAUACCGCCCAAGAGUUCAUAUCGACGGCGGUGUUUGGCACCUCGAUGUCGGCUCAUCACAUCCUGGGGCUGAAGUCGGUCCCAAGGGUAUGGCUGUUCGCCAUUUAAAGUGGUACGCGAGCUGGGUUUAGAACGUCGUGAGACAGUUCGGUCCCUAUCUGCCGUGGGCGUUGGAAAAUUGAAAGGGGCUGCUCCUAGUACGAGAGGACCGGAGUGGACGAACCUCUGGUGUUCGGGUUGUCAUGCCAAUGGCAUUGCCCGGUAGCUAAGUUCGGAAUCGAUAACCGCUGAAAGCAUCUAAGCGGGAAGCGAGCCUUGAGAUGAGUUUUCCCUGGCACUAUAAGUGUCCUAAAGGGUUGUCGUAGACUACGACGUUGAUAGGCAGGGUGUGUAAGUGCUGCGAGGCAUUGAGCUAACCUGUACUAAUUGCCCAUGAGGCUUAACCAUACAACACCCAAGGGGUUU
rnacentral:rRNA from 1 species